UACAGAGGGGGCAAGCGUUGUUCGGAUUCACUGGGCGUAAAGGGUGCGUAGGCGGCUUAUUAAGUCAGGGGUGAAAGACGGUGGCUCAACCAUCGCAGUGCCCUUGAUACUGAUGAGCUUGAAUACACUUGAGGUAGGCGGAAUGUGACAAGUAGCGGUGAAAUGCAUAGAUAUGUCACAGAACACCAAUUGCGAAGGCAGCUUACUAAGGUGCAAUUGACGCUGAGGCACGAAAGCGUGGGGGAUCAAACAGG
rnacentral:rRNA from 1 species